rnacentral:rRNA from 1 species
CCCGCUGAACUUAAGCAUAUCAAUAAGCGGAGGAAAAGAANCCANCAGGGAUUGCCUCAGUAACGGCGAGUGAAGCGGCANCAGCUCAAAUUUGAAAUCUGGUCCUUUCAGGGCCCGAGUUGUAAUUUGUAGAAGAUGCUUCGAGCGUGGCACCGGUCUAAGUUCCUUGGAACAGGACGUCAUAGAGGGUGAGAAUCCCGUAUGCGACUGGCCGCCUUUGUUCAUGUGAAGCUCUUUCGACGAGUCGAGUUGUUUGGGAAUGCAGCUCAAAGUGGGUGGUAUAUUUCAUCUAAAGCUAAAUAUUGGCCAGAGACCGAUAGCGCACAAGUAGAGUGAUCGAAAGAUGAAAAGCACUUUGGAAAGAGAGUUAAACAGUACGUGAAAUUGUUGAAAGGGAAGCGCUUGCAACCAGACUUGCACAUUGCUGAUCAUCUGGGGUUCUCCCCAGUGCACUCGGUAACGUUCAGGCCAGCAUCGGUUUGGGUGGUUGGAUAAAGGCCUUGGGAAUGUAGCUCCUCUCGGGGAGUGUUAUAGCCCUCGGUGCAAUGCAGCCUACCCGGACCGAGGACCGCGCUUCGGCUAGGAUGCUGGCGUAAUGGUUGUAAGCGACC